rnacentral:tRNA from 1 species
GGCCGGUUAGCUCAGUCAGUUGAGCGUGGUGCUGAUAACACCAAGGUCGCAGGUUCAAUCCCUAUUCAGUCCC